rnacentral:rRNA from 1 species
AUACGUAGGUGGCAAGCGUUGUCCGGAUUUAUUGGGCGUAAAGCGAGCGCAGGCGGUUUCUUAAGUCUGAUGUGAAAGCCCCCGGCUCAACCGGGGAGGGUCAUUGGAAACUGGGAGACUUGAGUGCAGAAGAGGAGAGUGGAAUUCCAUGUGUAGCGGUGAAAUGCGUAGAUAUAUGGAGGAACACCAGUGGCGAAGGCGACUUUCUGGUCUGUAACUGACGCUGAGGGUAGAAAGCGUGGGGAGCAAACAGGAUUAGAUUCCCUGGUAGUCCACGCCGUAAACGAUGAGUGCUAAGUGUUGGAGGGUUUCCGCCCUUCAGUGCUGCAGCUAACGCAUUAAGCACUCCGCCUGGGGAGUACGACCGCAAGGUUGAAACUCAAAUGAAUUGACGGG